rnacentral:rRNA from 1 species
UACGUAGGGGGCAAGCGUUGUCCGGAUUUAUUGGGCGUAAAGAGCGUGUAGGCGGCCAUUCAGGUCAGCUGUGAAAACUCGAGGCUCAACCUCGAGACGUCGGUUGAAACCGUUUGGCUAGAGUCCGGAAGAGGAGAGUGGAAUUCCCGGUGUAGCGGUGAAAUGCGCAGAUAUCGGGAGGAACACCUGUGGCGAAGGCGGCUCGCUGGGCCGGUCCUGACGCUGAGACGCGAAGGCGUGGGGAGCGAACGGG